rnacentral:rRNA from 1 species
CCUAUACAUGACUCUGCGCAUAUCAAUAAGCGGAGGAAAAGAAACUAACAAGGAUUCCCUUAGUAACGGCGAGUGAAGCGGGAAGAGCUCAAAUUUGAAAUCUUCAAGGUUUUACCUUGACGAAUUGUAGUUUAAAGAAGUGUUUUCUGCUGAAGUUUUGGUAAAAGUUCUUUGGAAUAGGACAUCAUAGAGGGUGAGAAUCCCGUAUUUGACCAUUAUUUUCAGCUUUGUGAUAGCACUUUCAAAGAGUCGGAUUGUUUGGGAAUGCAGUCCAAAAUGGGUGGUAAAUUUCAUCUAAAGCUAAAUAUUGGCGAGAGACCGAUAGCGAACAAGUACCGUGAGGGAAAGAUGAAAAGAACUUGAAAAGAGAGUUAAACAGUACGUGAAAUUGUCAAAAGGGAAGCGUUUGACACCAGUGUUGUUUUCUCGAAAAUCAAUUAAAAAUGGCUCGAUUUUGUAUUGUUGAGACCUUAAAAGCUCACUGUACAUUUUUCGUGUCUUUUUUAAUGCACUUUUCGUUUAACAAGUCUACAUCAGUUUCUUUUGUUGUAAAAGGGUCAUUGGAAGGUGGCUUUCUUUUCGGAGAAAGUGUUUAUAGCCUUUGGCCUCUGCAAUCGGAGAGACUGAGGUCUGCAGCGUAGACUCUUCGGGGUUAGAUACAUUUGUGCUAAGUUAUAGCUUUUUAUAGACAACUUGUUGACUAUAAUUAGUCUUGUAGCUUACUCGCUUAUGCUAUUUUACCUACGCUUAGGAUGUUGAAGAUGUAGCACAUCAU